rnacentral:rRNA from 1 species
CGCUUAUUGAAAAUAAUUUUAAGUCAAUCUGCCCAAUGAAUAAAUUAAAUGGCUGCAGUAUAAAUAACUGUACAAAGGUAGCAUAAUCAAUUGAUUUUUAAAUGAAAUCUGGAAUAAAAGAAUUAAUGAAAUAUAUACUGUCUCAUAUAUAUAAUAUAAACUUAAAUUUUUAAUAAAAAUGUUAAAAUUUAUUUAUGGGACGAUAAGACCCUAUAGAAUUUUAUAUUAAAUUAUUUUUAUAAAUAUUAAAUAUAAAAUUUAAAUUAAUAUUUAAUUGGGAGAAUUAUUAAAUUUAAAAAAUUUUAAUUUAAAAAAAACUUUAAUUAAAGAAUAUAUCUUGAUCUUUAAAUUAAAAUUAAUAGAAUAAAUUACCUUAGGGAUAACAGCGUUAUAUUUUUUUAUAGAUCACAUAGAAAAAAAUGAUUGCGACCUCGAUGUUGAAUUAAGAUAAAUUUUAAAUGUAGAAAUUUAAUAAUUAAGUCUGUUCGACUUUUAAAAUCUUACAUGAUUUGAGUUCAAAUCGACGUAAGU